rnacentral:rRNA from 1 species
GAUGAACGCUGGCGGCGUGCCUAAUACAUGCAAGUCGAGCGAACAGACGAGGAGCUUGCUCCUCUGACGUUAGCGGCGGACGGGUGAGUAACACGUGGAUAACCUACCUAUAAGACUGGGAUAACUUCGGGAAACCGGCGCUAAUACCGGAUAAUAUAUUGAACCGCAUGGUUCAAUAGUGAAAGACGGUUUUGCUGUCACUUAUAGAUGGAUCCGCGCCGCAUUAGCUAGUUGGUAAGGUAACGGCUUACCAAGGCAACGAUGCGUAGCCGACCUGAGAGGGUGAUCGGCCACACUGGAACUGGGACACGGUCCAGACUCCUACGGGAGGCAGCAGUAGGGAAUCUUCCGCAAUGGGCGAAAGCCUGACGGAGCAACGCCGCGUGAGUGAUGAAGGUCUUCGGAUCGUAAAACUCUGUUAUUAGGGAAGAACAAAUGUGUAAGUAACUAUGCACGUCUUGACGGUACCUAAUCAGAAAGCCACGGCUAACUACGUG